AUGAACGCUGGCGGCGUGYUUAACACAUGCAAGUCGAACGGGGAACAUUUUAAAGAAGCUUCGGCAGAUUUAGUUUGUUCCUAGUGGCGGACGGGUGAGUAACGCGUGGGUAACCUGCCUCACACUGGGGGAUAACAGUCAGAAAUGACUGCUAAUACCGCAUAAGCGCACAGAGCUGCAUGGCUCAGUGUGAAAAACUCCGGUGGUGUGAGAUGGACCCGCGUUGGAUUAGCCAGUUGGCAGGGUAACGGCCUACCAAAGCGACGAUCCAUAGCCGGCCUGAGAGGGUGGACGGCCACAUUGGGACUGAGACACGGCCCAGACUCCUACGGGAGGCAGCAGUGGGGAAUAUUGCACAAUGGGGGAAACCCUGAUGCAGCGACGCCGCGUGAAGGAAGAAGUAUCUCGGUAUGUAAACUU
rnacentral:rRNA from 1 species